UAGGGAAUAUUGGUCAAUGGGCGGGAGCCUGAACCAGCCAUGCCGCGUGCGGAAGAAGGCCCUACGGGUCGUAAACCGCUUUUAUACGGGAACAACCGCAGCUACGUGUAGCUGUCUGAGUGUACCGUAGGAAUAAGGAUCGGCUAACUCCGUGCCAGCAGCCGCGGUAAUACGAAGGGUGCAAGCGUUAAUCGGAAUUACUGGGCGUAAAGCGCGCGUAGGUGGUUAGGUAAGUUGGAUGUGAAAGCCCUGGGCUCAACCUGGGAACUGCAUCCAAAAACUGCUUGGCUAGAGUACGGUAGAGGGUAGUGGAAUUUCCUGUGUAGCGGUGAAAAUGCGUAGAUAUAGGAAGGAACACCAGUGGCGAAAGGCGACUACCUGGACUGAUACUGACACUGAGGUGCGAAAGCGUGGGGAGCAAACAGGAUUAGAUACC
rnacentral:rRNA from 1 species